AACGAACGCUGGCGGCAUGCCUAACACAUGCAAGUCGAACGAGACCUUCGGGUCUAGUGGCGCACGGGUGCGUAACGCGUGGGAACCUGCCCUUAGGUUCGGAAUAACUCCCCGAAAGGGGUGCUAAUACCGGAUAAUGUCUUCGGACCAACGAUUUAUCGCCUUUGGAUGGGCCCGCGUUGGAUUAGUUAGUUGGUAGGGUAAAAGCCUACCAAGGCGACGAUCCAUAGCUGGUCUGAGAGGAUGAUCAGCCACACUGGGACUGAGACACGGCCCAGACUCCUACGGGAGGCAGCAGUGGGGAAUAUUGGACAAUGGGCGAAAGCCUGAUCCAGCAAUGCCGCGUGAGUGAUGAAGGCCUUAGGAUUGUAAAGCUCUUUUACCCGGGAUGAUAAUGACGGUACCGGAAGAAUAAGCUCCGGCUAACUCCGUG
rnacentral:rRNA from 1 species